rnacentral:rRNA from 1 species
GGCCUUAGUGGCGCACGGGUGCGUAACGCGUGGGAAUCUGCCCUUUGGUUCGGAAUAACAGCUGGAAACGGCUGCUAAUACCGGAUGAUGACGAGAGUCCAAAGAUUUAUCGCCAGAGGAUGAGCCCGCGUUGGAUUAGGUAGUUGGUGGGGUAAAGGCCUACCAAGCCGACGAUCCAUAGCUGGUCUGAGAGGAUGAUCAGCCACACUGGGACUGAGACACGGCCCAGACUCCUACGGGAGGCAGCAGUGGGGAAUAUUGGACAAUGGGCGCAAGCCUGAUCCAGCAAUGCCGCGUGAGUGAUGAAGGCCCUAGGGUUGUAAAGCUCUUUUACCCGGGAAGAUAAUGACUGUACCGGGAGAAUAAGCCCCGGCUAACUCCGUGCCAGCAGCCGCGGUAAUACGGAGGGGGCUAGCGUUGUUCGGAAUUACUGGGCGUAAAGCGCACGUAGGCGGCUUUGUAAGUCAGAGGUGAAAGCCUGGAGCUCAACUCCAGAACUGCCUUUGAGACUGCAUCGCUUGAAUCCAGGAGAGGUCAGUGGAAUUCCGAGUGUAGAGGUGAAAUUCGUAGAUAUUCGGAAGAACACC